UACGUAGGUGGCAAGCGUUGUCCGGAUUUACUGGGCGUAAAGAGCGCGCAGGCGGCCGAGUAAGUCGAAUGUGAAAGCCCCCGGCUUAACUGGGGAGGGUCAUUCGAUACUGUUUAACUUGAAGGCAGGAGAGGGUAGUGGAAUUCCCGGUGUAGUGGUGAAAUGCGUAGAUAUCGGGAGGAACACCAGUGGCGAAGGCGGCUCACUGGUCCGGUACUGACGCUGAGGUGCGAAAGCGUGGGGAGCAAACAGG
rnacentral:rRNA from 1 species